rnacentral:rRNA from 1 species
CCCUUAGAUGUCCUGGGCCGCACGCGCGCUACACUGAUGCAUUCAACGAGUUUUACCUUGGCCGAGAGGCCUGGGCAAUCUUUUGAACCUGCAUCGUGAUUGGGAUAGACCUUUGCAAUUAUGGGUCUUCAACGAGGAAUUCCUAGUAAACGCAAGUCAUCAGCUUGCAUUGAUUACGUCCCUGCCCUUUGUACACACCGCCCGUCGCACCUACCGAUUGAAUGGUCCGGUGAAAUCUCGGGACGGCGGCUUGGUCGCUUGCGUCCGACUGCUGAAACUUGAUUAAACCAUAUCAUUUAGAGGAAGGUGAAGUCGUAACA